rnacentral:lncRNA from 1 species
CUAAAUAUUUUAUAUUAUCAGUAGUUACUUUAAAUGGAAUUUCUCUUUGUAACUCUGACUGUUGGAUUAUGUUAGUGAUAUAUAAGAAUGCUGAUGACUUAUGUGGGUUUAUUUUAUAACCAGCAACUUUGCUAAAGUUGUGGAUUAUUUCUAAUAACUUUUUAGCAGAAUCUCUGGGGUUCUCUAAGUAUACCAUCAUGUCAUCGGCAAAGAGUGAUAAUUUGGCUUCCUCAUUGCCUAUUCUUAUUCCUUUAAUCUCUUUCUCAGCUCUUAUUGCUAUAGCUAGCGUUUCUAAUACAAUAUUAAAUAGUAACGGUGAUAGUGGGCAACCUUGUUUCACUCCAGAUCUUAUUGGGAAUGGUUGCAGUUUGUCUCCAUUACAUAUGAUGCUUACUGAUGGUUUUAAAUAGAUGCUGCUGAUUAUUUUAAGGAAAAGUCCAUUUAUUCCUAUACUCUCAAGUGUUUUUAAUAGGAAUGGAUGUUGGAUUUUAUCAAAGGCUUUUUCUGCAUCUAUUGAGAUGAUCAUAUGGUUUUGUUAGAUUUGGUUAUUAACAUGGCCAAUUAUAUUGAUAGUUUUCCUAAUAUUGAACCAGCCCUGCAUUCCUGGUAUAAAUCCUACUUGAUCAUAGUGCAUUAUCUUGGAGAUGAUUUUCUGUAGUCUUUUUGCUAAUAUCUUAUUUAAGAUUUUAGCACCAAUAUUCAUUAGGGAGAUUGGUCUAUAAUUUUCUUUCUCUGUUUUCAGCCUACCUGGUUUAGGUAUCAGUACCAUGUCUGUGUCAUAGAAGGAAUUUGGCAGGACUCCUUCAUUCCCUAUUUUAUCAAAUAAUUUAUAUAGCAUUGGGGCCAAUUGUUCUUUAAAUGUUUGGUAAAAUUCACAUGUAAAUCCAUCUGGUCCUUGGGAUUUUUUCUUAGGGAGUUGUUUAAUUGCCUGUUCUAUUUCUUUUUCUGAAAUGGGACUAUUCAAGCAAUUUACUUCCUCCUCUGUUAGCCUGGGAAGUCUGUAUUUUUGGAGGUAGUCAUUCAUUUCACUUAGGUUAUCAAAUUUAUUGGCAUAAAGUUGAGCAAAAUAACUCCUUAUUAUUUUUCUAAUUUCCUCUUCAUUGGUGGAAAGUUCUCCCUUUUCAUUUUUAAGACUACUAAUUUCAUUUUCCUCCCUCCUUUUUCUAAUCAGAUUUACCAAAGGCUUAUCAAUUUUAUUGGCUUUUUCAUAGAACCAACUCUUUGUUUUAUUAAUUAGCUCAAUAGUUUUUUUACUUUCAAUAUUUUUAAUUUCUCCUUUUAAUUUUAGAAUUUCCAAUUUAGUAUUUGAUUGGGGGUUUUUAAUUUGGUCUUUUUUUAAUUUUUUUAGUUGCAAGCCCAAUUCAUUAAUCUUUUCUUUCUCUGUUUUAUUCAAGUAAGCCUCUAAGGAUAUAAAAUUCCCUCUUAUUACCGCUUUGGCUGCAUCCCAC